rnacentral:rRNA from 1 species
UACGGAGGGUGCAAGCGUUAAUCGGAAUUACUGGGCGUAAAGCGUGCGUAGGUGGUUCGUUAAGUCCGUUGUGAAAGCCCCGAGCUCAACUUGGGAAUUGCAGUGGAUACUGGCGAGCUGGAGUGCGGUAGAGGAAGGUGGAAUUCCCGGUGUAGCGGUGAAAUGCGUAGAGAUCGGGAGGAAUACCAGUGGCGAAGGCGGCUUUCUGGGCCUGUUCUGACGCUGAGGAGCGAAAGCGUGGGGAGCAAACCGG